GACAGAGGGUGCAAACGUUGUUCGGAAUUACUGGGCGUAAAGCGAGUGUAGGCGGUCUAAAAAAGUCGGGGUGUGAAAGCCCCCGGGCUCAACCCGGGAAGUGCACUCGAAACUGCUAGGCUAGAGUAUCGGAGAGGUUGGUGGAAUUCUCGGUGUAGAGGUGAAAUUCGUAGAUAUCGAGAGGAACACCGGUGGCGAAGGCGGGACUCUGGGCCGAUACUGACGCUGAGGAGCGAAAGCGUGGGGGAGCAAACAGG
rnacentral:rRNA from 1 species